rnacentral:rRNA from 1 species
AACGAACGCUGGCGGCAUGCCUAACACAUGCAAGUCGAACGAGACCUUCGGGUCUAGUGCCGCACUGGUGGGUAACGCGUUGGAACCUGCCCUUAGGUUCGCAAUAACUCCCCGAAAGAGGUGCUAAUACCGGAUAAUAUCUUGGAUCCAAAGAUUUAUCGCCUGUGGAGGGGCUCGCGUUGGAUUACCUACUUGUUAGGGUAAACGCGUACCAAGGCGACGAUCCAUAGCUGGUCUGAGAGGAAGAUCAGCCACACUGGGAGGAGGAAACGGCCGGGAAUCUUACAGGAGGCGGCAGAGGGGGAUAUUGGAAAGCGGCCGGAGGGAUGAAGGAGCAAGGCCGCGUAAGUGAUGUAGGCUGUGGGGUAGUAAAGCAAUUUUACACGGGAUGAUAAUGACGGUACCAGGAGAAUAAGCUCCGGCUAACUCCGUG